CAAGUGAUCCAUCCUCUGUCACCCAUUCCCAGCUUCUGGCUAAUAGAGGCCAGGGACACUAUCCCUGCCCAUCCUGGCUAAUAGCCAUUGAUGGCCCUAUCCCCCAGGAACGUAGCUAGUUCUGUUUUGACCUCUGAUACACUGUGCAAUUCAUGGCCCUGGCUGCUUCUGCCCAGUGGAACAUGCUCUAACCCCCUACUUCUCUGGGCCCCCCCACCGCAGGACCACGCCAGGGCCGGUGCUAGCCCCUGCAGAGCCACUUACCGUCAUGGCGUAGCCACCAGCAGGAAGCCCAGCACCUCCUGCCCGGCUUGGCGCAGCGUGCUGCUGAUUGGAUGCAUUCUGGGACUGGGGCGUAGACGAUUCCACAGCUUGCCCCUGGCCCGGGCGACCAGGAAGGCCAGCAGGUUGCUGAGAGCUGAGGCCGCUUGCGCUGUCUCGUAGAAACUGACACACGUGCCUCAAAGAGGAGUGGAGCCCGUCUGCACAUGCCCCCAAGCACGUCCCAGUGCCCCGCAGCCCCUGGCCCACCCAGCAGCAGAGAUGGGGCCCCGUAGGCCCAGCAACAGGGGUUGCGUUCCCCACCCGCCCCGGGGUGGAGUAGUGCCGGUUCCCCCAGGCUGGUGGUUCCUCCGGGAGCAGGUGGAUGGUGACUCAGCAGGUGGAUGGAGGCUCGGCACAGGGGCUGGGAGUCAGAAUACCUGCCCUCUAUUCCUCGCUCUGCCAUGGACCCCGUGAGCUGGCUAAGUCACCUCACCUCCCUGUGCCUUCAGACGUCUGCCCAGGAGCUGGAGGUGAGGGGUCUCACCAGGGCUCUGAGCAUUCCACAGAGGGGUAGCUGUCGCAGUGCGAGGGUGUCCCUAGGGUCGCCAAUGGGACUGUACUCGGGCAGCUGGCUGCGCACGCCGCUGGGGCUGGAUGUCUGUUGUAGCAAACUAGCUUGAUCCGAGUCAGCGCAGGUACAUCUGCCAGAGCUGGCACCCCCCCACCCAGCUUCUGUGGGGUGCACCCUCUGUUUCCCUCUCAGCGCAGGGGGCUCGGGCUGUGGGGAGUUGGGAAAGUUCAGUAAGGAAAUGUCUGUAAUACGCCAGGAGAGUCUCUCGAUCCAGGGGCUAUAGCAACUCAUACUCCAAGGCCAGAAGGGACCAUUGUGAUGUUAGUCUGACGUUGUGUACAGCGCGGGCCAGCGGCUUUCCCUCCCGCAAUGCCUGUUGGAACUAGACUGUGUCUCCAGUUGCAAUUUUAAAACUGCCAGUGAUGGGAAUUGACCACAACCCCUGGUAAGAUGUUCAAAUGGUGAAUUCCCUUGUUAAAUUUUUAUACCUUUUUUAGUAUGAAUUUGUCCAGCUUUAACUUCCAGCCAUUGGAUCAUGUUAGCUCUUAGUCUGCUACAUUGGCUCUCUGUUUUCAAACCUCUGUUCCCCUGUAGACACUUAAAUACUGGUAUCAAGUCAGCCCUUAACCUUCUCUUUUCUAAGCUAAAUACAGUGUGCUCUUUGAGUCUCUCGCUGUAAGGCAGGUUUUCUGAUACUUUACUCAUUCUCCUGCCUCUUCUCUGAACCCUCUCCAAUUUAUCAACAUCCUGCUUGAACUGGACACAGUAUUCCAGUGCUGGCUGCACCACUCCCAAAUACUGUACAGAGGUAAAAUAACCUCCAAGACUUGUAUUAGUGCUUGUGGCUACAGCUUCACACUGGGAGCCCAUGUUCAGACCACAAGUCUUUUUCAGAGUCCCUGCUUCCCAGGGUAGAGUCCCCCAUCCUGUAGGUAUGGCCUGCGUUCUGUGUUCCUGAGUGUACUACCUUACAUUUGGCUGUACUGAAACACACAGUUUGCCUGCACCCAGCCUACCAAGCAAUCCAAAUUGAUCUGAAUCAGUGAUCUGUCCUCUUCGUUAUUUACCACUUUACCCAGGUGUGCCAGGUAGCCUCCUCCCGGGUAGAGGGACAGCUGCCCCCACACGGGGUUUUCCCCCAGGCUCUCUGCACCGUGAUUCACCCAGAUGCUGUCCUGUGGCCCCUGUUCUGGCCAGGGGGACCCCAGCCAUGCCCAUGGCCCCUGCAUCCUGCUGGCGGCAGGAGCAGAGCUGGUGCUGUGGCUGGGGCCGGAGCUGCCAUGGUUGCAUGCUGCCAAGGAGGAGAGCGUUUCCGUCUGAGAUGAACCCUGCGGCACAAGGGACCCCUGAGAAUGUAUGCCUGGGGGCGCGGCUCCCUUUGGAAAUCACAGACGGUCCAUGGAGCCCCAGCUGAAAGCCACUGCUCCAGAACAGCAUCGAAGUGGAGACCCCAGUGGAACCCGUAGAGCCCUGAAGAGCCUGGGGGCAAAGGGUGCCCAGCUGUGCUGCUCUCUGGGAGGCCAGCCCUAUGGGCCUCGCUGCCAAGGCCAGGGCAGGCCCGCAGAGGCUGAUCCACCACUUCUCCCCUUCCACCGGGCGGUGGCUCAGGAGGGCCUGCAUCUCUGGGUUCCAGGUGCACGCCAGGCACCCGCCAUUGGCCUGGCACCAGGCCUGGGCUCCCCAGAAGCUGUUCCAGAGCUGGACGAACUUGUAGCUGACGUCUCCCUCGUGUUGUUGGUGCCAUCUCGAGGCAGGCCCAGCUUGGGCAACGCUUGCCAAACAGAACCAAAGCCACAUCCCUGAUGGGAGUCGCAUGGUGCCGGUGGCUCCGGCUGCCCGCCCAGCCCUUUAUACAAGCCUGCUGCUUUUGUCCCAGGUCCAAGCUGAGGCAAACCCGCCCAACUCAGGUUCCCACCCCAGGGCUGCCAAGCAAACAGAGAGAGGCGAGCGCGUCCCACCUGCCUGCCAGGCAGGGCCAUUGAGACCGGGGGCUGUUUGCAGAGAAGGGUGAGGCAAUUGCUGGGCCUCAGCGUGGCUGUGGGACACGAAGGAGAGUGGAGCACGCAAUGUUCCCAUGCAGGGCACAGGGAGCUGAACACCUGCUGAGGCUGGACUGGCAGCCUGCCCUUGGAGAGGGAACCCGCAGGGUGCUGGGGACGGAUGGGGCCAUCCCUGGGGGCGGAUGGGCCCAAUGUUUCUAUGGCAUGGUGUGAGAUUCACACACAGGGACCAUGGUGCCCACUCUGGCUGACCGCCUGUGUGACAAGGCCAGAGCGGCUGCGCCCCCAAACCGCUGGGCUGCCAGCACUGAGCCCCUGCCUGGGGCUGAGCUGGAAGCAUCUCGUCUAGAAAGACAGGGCCUUGAUUUAGGAACCAAAUGGGGUCUUUGCAAUUAGAAUUGGGGAGCCCCCCACUUGGCUGGGGGUGGUGGGCCUGCUGCCUGCCUGGCUGGGGGUGUGAGAACUGGAGGGCACUUUUGGA